AAAAAAAAAAAAAAAAGGUUCAAAUUUGAGUGGUAUGUUAUCAACUUUGUUUUGAGUAAAAAUUGUCACAUGACAAUUAAUGGAGUAAUUUUAUAUCUUAAAAAAAUAUAACAAGAUAAUUUUGAAAUGAUAAUUAUUUAUUUAUUAGAGCAAUAGGAUGUAGAAAGUGUUUUAUUUAAGUACAGUAUUUAUUUUCACCCAAAAAAAUUGAUUUGCGCGGCUCAAUUAUUUUGGAUUGCCGCCCAAAGAUAUUUUAUCUCCCUCUCUCAAUUCAAACACGGAAUGGUCUAGAAAGUCUUUCUUAAUGUGCUGCAAUGGGUAAAGGGACGCAGACGAAGAAUAGAAAGAUGGUCAAAUAGUCGCCCACUUGAUCGGUCUUUCUUUACUUUUUCCAACCCAAGCCCUAACACUCUCUCACCUUCUUAUUCAACGUAGAUACUGAGAAUCCUAGUGAACGGAGUGUCCAUUUCUCCCCGAAUAAUCACAAAAAAUACCGAAUUUCCAUGUCCUUACAUUCGAAUCCAUCUUUUCCUCUUUCGAUCGGUGUAGAUUUCACUCUAUUGGGUAACAAAUUUGAAUCCACAACUUGUUAUACCUUUACAUAGUUUCGAUUGGUUUUGUUCGAAUUCUGGUUGCGAUCGGUGACAUGAAGACCGAAGAGUUGGACGAUGAUGUAAAAUACGAUCAAGAUCGUGUUGGUGGAGGAGGAUAGAUUGUUCGGGUCGAUGCGAAGAGAGCGUUAGUCGGAGCGGGGGCUCGGAUCCUAUUCUACCCGACCCUGCUGUACAAUGUGUUCCGCAACAAGAUUCAAGCCGAGCUUAGAUGGUGGGACGAAGUUAAGCAAGUUUUCUUUCUGAUUUUUCAUAUAUAUAUGUAUAUCAUAGGCAUUUCCAUAUUUAUGCGUUUGUUCAUUUCUUAUUGAAAAUUUUAUAAAACUUAUAUGCUUUAGAUUGUACACCUUUCUGAAUAGCUUGUUGCAAUUUGAUUGGUUUCUGAAAUAUGUAGGAAUAGAAAAUUUCAAUUCGGAUGCUUUGCAAUUUUGAUGGGAUUGUGUUUUAGAUGUUUCCUUGGUCGUUCCUAAUUUUUCUUCUGGCAUUGAGAAAAUUGUAGGAACAUAGAAGAAAUACUAAAUAGAAUGUUGACUAUUUUAGAUAGAUUGUUUGAUUUUUGAAUUGUUCUUGACUUCCAGUUUGGAUGUUGGGAAAAUGUAAUAAAAGGGAAGAAAAUGGGAUAUUUGUUAAGACAGUUGUUUUGAUUAGAGAAACGAAUUGAAUUGGUAGGUUAGAGAAAAUGGGAUAUUUGUUCACACGGUUCUAAUUGAGGCAUGUGCAAAGCUUCCAUUUACAUUGGGAAAAGCAAUUAACAAGUAGGUAUCUUAUAAAUUACUCCAUAAUUCAUUUUUUUCUUCUUCAACUGGUUAGAGAAAGUCUCCUCUGAGCUCAAUCAAAUAUAUUUUGCUGCUACAACCUUCCUUCCUAACUCUUUUUUGGAUAAAACAACAUCAUGCAGAAAGGUAACACACACUCUCACUGUCCUCCGCCUUUCUGAUCAUUUGAGAAAGGUCUUUAAUUAAACUCUUAAAUAUUUAUGUUUAAUUAGAUGGAUAUGGCAAAGUUAACAUUCUUGCACACAUCCUUGCUGCAACCUCAAUGGGAUUCAUCUCCGCCGGCGCUGCUAUUCAUUUUUACCAGAAAAAGUCUAAAUUCUAGAAAGAAAACUAUAUUAUUCCGCUAUUUGAGAGCACAGGCUCUUCUCAUGAGGAAAACAUGAAACUUUUUCUCAUUAUGUUGGUCAGUAUAUAUAUCUGCUUUACCCCACACACACACACACACACACAUAUAUAUAUAGAUAGAUAUUAACCACUUUGUAAAUGUUAAAUGGUAUAUAUAUAUAAUUCUCAAAAUCUUAAUUUUGUUUUAUAAAAUAUUUAAUUAUUUGUUACAUAUAUAUAUACUUUGUGCAGUUAAGCAAAUAGGGUUUAAAGAUGCAAGUGAGUGUCCCCAAUUAUGCAAGUUAGCUAAUGAAUAUUUGAGGAAAACCAAAGACUGUGAAGAAAAAAUGUAUGAGUAUUUUGCUAAGGAGAAAAAUGCUGAGUCACUGUAUGUCAAGUUGGUGGAGGAAUUCCAAACCUGUAUUCUCAGAUAUUUUGCAUUUCGUUGGAGCAAAGCUUCUGAUAUGAUCACCCAGAGACAUGCGGGAAGCUUGUUAGAAGACUUUACACAAAGGUAGAUCAGCACGUUAGCAGUGAGUGGAAACUUUUUGGUUGCUGGAGGCUUAAGCUUUCAAGGAGAAUUACUUGUAAGCAUGGUUAACGCUAGAGGAGGACAUAACAUGUAAAGAAACAGAUAGCAGAGGAGAAUGGCACAUAAGCAGCAAUAUCUCCUACGGCUUCAGCAAAUGGAGGAAGAGCAGUAAAUGCCUGGGUUUCCAGAUGAUGAUGGUCAGUUGCAUGUAGAACAGGAAGAAGUUUAGUAGAUUCAGGAUCAGGGAAGAGGUCCAGAAUAUCCUCUUCAUAUCAACGACCUCAUUACUUGGGCUAUAGAAGCAGGGGUAACACGUGCACUUCAGAAUCAACCACAGGUUCAACAGGUACCUAUACCAGCACCAGUGGUAGAGAUAGAUCCUUGGGAGAAGGUUAGGAGUUCUUUCACAAAAGGGAGCCCACCUGAAUUCUCAGGCUCCACCGAUGCGAAAGUAACUCACCAGUGGAAGAAGGACAUCGACGACAUCUUCGCAUGGUUCAGUGCACGGAGGUUUAGAAGAAGAUGCUUGCUACCUUCAAGCUUGUUGGGGAUGCACUCCAGUGGUGGGAGUCAGUUACUUCCGUAGAGGAAAGGACUUCAUUAACCUAUACUCAGUUCAGUGCUCACUUCGAUGAGAAGUAUUUUCCUUAUGCGAUCAAAACCAUUAUGAAGACGGAGUUCCUUAACUUAGUGCAGGGGAACAUGUCCGUAACUAAGUAUGAGCAGUAGUUUACAAGUUUAUCACUUUUUGCUCCUGAGGAGGUGGAUACAGAGGAGAAGAAACGUACUAGUUUUGUCAAGGGAUUGAUGUGAUAUAUUAUUCAAUCUAUUACAGAUAAUCCAACCUACACUACUUAUGCUCAAGUGGUGGAUGUAACUUUGCAGCUUUAUCAGCUGAAUGAGGAUUUCAGACAGAUUAGGGGUGAGAAGCGAAGUGGCAGAGACUCUACUAAUCAGUCAGCUGAGCAAGUGAAUAAUAACGGGAACCGACAGAAUGACAAGGGCAAAUUCCAAGGCCAGCAGCCUUGGAAGAAACACAAGGGUAAUUCAGAAGUUCAGAGAGAUGGAGUUUCCACUCAGCAGAAUGGAGCACCUUAGACUGGACAGGGACAAUUAUAGGGUAAUCACCAGGAGGGCAGUCAAAUAUAUUUAGGGGUCAUUGCUAUAAGUGUGGAAAGUAUGGGCAUUCAACGAACGAUGUCCUGGGUUGGUUCAGAAACAGCAUCGGCAACAAGGACAGUGGUAACCGUUACCUACUCGACAGAUUCCAUAUGUGCAGGUUUAGACAUUUCCAGCCUUGCCAGCACCACCGCCACCGCAGGGGCAGCCUAUACAGCAAUUGCAUCAGGGCAUGGUGUACAAUGCCACACCUUGUAAUGCAUGGGCACCUCAGAAGAAUUGAGGGUCUAUGUAGAUUUGAUUGUGCAGAGUAGAGACCAGUCAUUCUCAUUCUUCCGGAUUAUUUAUAUAGGAUUUUACUUUAUGUUUCAGUAUUCAGUUAUAGACAAUUGUUACUGUUGUUUCUAUCAAUUUGGGAUUUUUCUAGGGGUCCACACAGUAUGGAUUCCCGAGUUGUAUUUUGGAGGAUUAGAUGUAUCAGAAGAUUUUUAUUAUCUAAUGAAAAUAUAUUCUGAAGUUUUUAAAUAUUGGAUUAUCAUUUUAUUUUUCUUUUCAGCAUUUUAUUUUUCUUAUUUAUCCUUUUGUAUUAUGUAUUCGUUUAUUGCCCAUUUGUUUUUGAUAUCUCCGAGUGUUCGGACGUGGGCCUAGCUAACCCGCAUUCGGAAAUCCAGAGGUAUCACAUAUGACAAUUGGGUUAUUUUCUAUAAAAUAUAGAUA